AAAAAGGGCUUCUGUGGUGAGUGGUUCACGUAGAGCAGCCUAUUGCUCUUCGUGCGGAAUCAACAUCAAGAGAUUUCGGAAGCAUCAUUUUUUGGCACUUGGGCAGCUGGUAAUCAUUGGCCCUGGCGCCAUA
rnacentral:snRNA from 1 species